AACGAACGCUGGCGGCAUGCCUAACGCAUGCAAGUCGAGCGAGACCUUCGGGUCUAGUGGCGCACGGGUGCGUAACGCGUGGGAACCUGCCCUUAGGUUCGGAAUAACUCCCCGAAAGGGGUGCUAAUACCGGAUAAUGUCUUCGGACCAAAGAUUUAUCGCCUUUGGAUGGGCCCGCGUUGGAUUAGCUAGUUGGUAGGGUAAAAGCCUACCAAGGCGACGAUCCAUAGCUGGUCUGAGAGGAUGAUCAGCCACACUGGGACUGAGACACGGCCCAGACUCCUACGGGAAGCAGCAGUGGGGAAUAUUGGACAAUGGGCGAAAGCCUGAUCCAGCAAUGCCGCGUGAGUGAUGAAGGCCUUAGGGUUGUAAAGCUCUUUUACCCGGGAUGAUAAUGACAGUACCGGGAGAAUAAGCUCCGGCUAACUCCGUG
rnacentral:rRNA from 1 species